rnacentral:rRNA from 1 species
GGUUAAGCGACUAAGCGUACACGGUGGAUGCCCUGGCAGUCAGAGGCGAUGAAGGACGUGCUAAUCUGCGAAAAGCGUCGGUAAGGUGAUAUGAACCGUUAUAACCGGCGAUGUCCGAAUGGGGAAACCCAGUGCAAUUCGUUGCACUAUCGUUAACUGAAUACAUAGGUUAACGAGGCGAACCGGGGGAACUGAAACAUCUAAGUACCCCGAGGAAAAGAAAUCAACCGAGAUUCCCCAGUAGCGGCGAGCGAACGGGGAGCAGCCCAGAGUCUGAAUCAGCUUGUGUGUUAGUGGAACGGUCUGGAAAGUCCGACGGUACAGGGUGAUAGUCCCGUACACCAAAAUGCACAGGUUGUGAACUCGAAGAGUAGGGCGGGACACGUGGUAUCCUGUCUGAAUAUGGGGGGACCAUCCUCCAAGGCUAAAUACUCCUGACUGACCGAUAGUGAACCAGUACCGUGAGGGAAAGGCGAAAAGAACCCCGGCGAGGGGAGUGAAAAAGAACCUGAAACCGUGUACGUACAAGCAGUGGGAGCACCUUCGGGUGUGACUGCGUACCUUUUGUAUAAUGGGUCAGCGACUUAUAUUCUGUAGCAAGGUUAACCGUAUAGGGGAGCCGCAGGGGAAACCGAGUCUUAACUGGGCGUUAAGUUGCAGGGUAUAGACCCGAAACCCGGUGAUCUAGCCAUGGGCAGGUUGAAGGUUGGGUAACACUAACUGGAGGACCGAACCGACUAAUGUUGAAAAAUUAGCGGAUGACUUGUGGCUGGGGGUGAAAGGCCAAUCAAACCGGGAGAUAGCUGGUUCUCCCCGAAAGCUAUUUAGGUAGCGCCUCGUGAACUCAUCUUCGGGGGUAGAGCACUGUUUCGGCUAGGGGGUCAUCCCGACUUACCAACCCGAUGCAAACUACGAAUACCGAAGAAUGUUAUCACGGGAGACACACGGCGGGUGCUAACGUCCGUCGUGAAGAGGGAAACAACCCAGACCGCCAGCUAAGGUCCCAAAGUCAUGGUUAAGUGGGAAACGAUGUGGGAAGGCACAGACAGCCAGGAUGUUGGCUUAGAAGCAGCCAUCAUUUAAAGAAAGCGUAAUAGCUCACUGGUCGAGUCGGCCUGCGCGGAAGAUGUAACGGGGCUAAACCAUGCACCGAAGCUGCGGCAGCGACACUAUGUGUUGUUGGGUAGGGGAGCGUUCUGUAAGCCUGCGAAGGUGACCUGUGAGGGUUGCUGGAGGUAUCAGAAGUGCGAAUGCUGACAUAAGUAACGAUAAAGCGGGUGAAAAGCCCGCUCGCCGGAAGACCAAGGGUUCCUGUCCAACGUUAAUCGGGGCAGGGUGAGUCGACCCCUAAGGCGAGGCCGAAAGGCGUAGUCGAUGGGAAACAGGUUAAUAUUCCUGUACUUGGUGUUACUGCGAAGGGGGGACGGAGAAGGCUAUGUUAGCCGGGCGACGGUUGUCCCGGUUUAAGCAUGUAGGCUGGUUGUCCAGGCAAAUCCGGAUAAUCAAGGCUGAGGUGUGAUGACGAGGCACUACGGUGCUGAAGUAACAAAUGCCCUGCUUCCAGGAAAAGCCUCUAAGCAUCAGGUAACAUCAAAUCGUACCCCAAACCGACACAGGUGGUCAGGUAGAGAAUACCAAGGCGCUUGAGAGAACUCGGGUGAAGGAACUAGGCAAAAUGGUGCCGUAACUUCGGGAGAAGGCACGCUGGUGUGUAGGUGAAGUCCCUGCGGAUGGAGCUGAGACCAGUCGAAGAUACCAGCUGGCUGCAACUGUUUAUUAAAAACACAGCACUGUGCAAACACGAAAGUGGACGUAUACGGUGUGACGCCUGCCCGGUGCCGGAAGGUUAAUUGAUGGGGUUAUCCGUAAGGAGAAGCUCUUGAUCGAAGCCCCGGUAAACGGCGGCCGUAACUAUAACGGUCCUAAGGUAGCGAAAUUCCUUGUCGGGUAAGUUCCGACCUGCACGAAUGGCGUAAUGAUGGCCAGGCUGUCUCCACCCGAGACUCAGUGAAAUUGAACUCGCUGUGAAGAUGCAGUGUACCCGCGGCAAGACGGAAAGACCCCGUGAACCUUUACUAUAGCUUGACACUGAACAUUGAGCCUUGAUGUGUAGGAUAGGUGGGAGGCUUUGAAGCGUGGACGCCAGUCUGCGUGGAGCCAACCUUGAAAUACCACCCUUUAAUGUUUGAUGUUCUAACGUUGGCCCCUUACCGGGGUUGCGGACAGUGUCUGGUGGGUAGUUUGACUGGGGCGGUCUCCUCCCAAAGCGUAACGGAGGAGCACGAAGGUUAGCUAAUCCUGGUCGGACAUCAGGAGGUUAGUGCAAUGGCAUAAGCUAGCUUGACUGCGAGCGUGACGGCGCGAGCAGGUGCGAAAGCAGGUCAUAGUGAUCCGGUGGUUCUGAAUGGAAGGGCCAUCGCUCAACGGAUAAAAGGUACUCCGGGGAUAACAGGCUGAUACCGCCCAAGAGUUCAUAUCGACGGCGGUGUUUGGCACCUCGAUGUCGGCUCAUCACAUCCUGGGGCUGAAGUAGGUCCCAAGGGUAUGGCUGUUCGCCAUUUAAAGUGGUACGCGAGCUGGGUUUAGAACGUCGUGAGACAGUUCGGUCCCUAUCUGCCGUGGGCGCUGGAGAAUUGAGGGGGGCUGCUCCUAGUACGAGAGGACCGGAGUGGACGCAUCACUGGUGUUCGGGUUGUCAUGCCAAUGGCACUGCCCGGUAGCUAAAUGCGGAAGAGAUAAGUGCUGAAAGCAUCUAAGCACGAAACUUGCCCCGAGAUGAGUUCUCCCUGAGACUUUAAGUCUCCUGAAGGAACGUUGAAGACGACGACGUUGAUAGGCCGGGUGUGUAAGCGCAGCGAUGCGUUGAGCUAACCGGUACUAAUGAACCGUGAGGCUUAACCUU